CGAGUUUGAUCCUGGCUCAGAUUGAACGCUGGCGGCAUGCCUUACACAUGCAAGUCGAACGGCAGGCACGGGAGCAAUCCUGGUGGCGAGUGGCGAACGGGUGAGUAAUAUAUCGGAACGUGCCCAGUCGUGGGGGAUAACGUAGCGAAAGCUACGCUAAUACCGCAUACGAUCUAUGGAUGAAAGCGGGGGAUCGCAAGACCUCGCGCGAUUGGAGCGGCCGAUAUCAGAUUAGGUAGUUGGUGAGGUAAAGGCUCACCAAGCCGACGAUCUGUAGCUGGUCUGAGAGGACGACCAGCCACACUGGGACUGAGACACGGCCCAGACUCCUACGGGAGGCAGCAGUGGGGAAUAUUGGACAAUGGGCGAAAGCCUGAUCCAGCAAUGCCGCGUGAGUGAUGAAGGCCUUAGGGUUGUAAAGCUCUUUUACCCGGGAUGAUAAUGACAGUACCGGGAGAAUAAGCUCCGGCUAACUCCGUG
rnacentral:rRNA from 1 species